CGCGCGCGCCGCUAGCCUACCCCCACCACCGUGCUACCGCCCCCUCUCCCCGGCCCGUUGCUCCGCGCUCGCGCGCGCUCACAGGUGCGGCGAGGAACCACCGCGACAGAGCGAAUUCCGAGAAAUACGUGCUCGGCGUAAUUCCGACGAUCGCGGGGGGUCACACGAUUUUCGUUGAUGUUUGGAAACCGUAUUGUCUCGUCCGCUUGUUUGAUUUGGCUCGUCGCAAAUACGAAAAAUAAUCCGACGAAGAAUGUCCUUGAUGCGGCACAACAGCUUUACGGGGGGAAGAAGGAACCGUCUUUGAAAUGACGACGACGACGGCGACGGCGACGGCGACGCUUCCGCGAUGCAACCUUCUAUCUUUUCUUUUUUCGAGCAUCGAAGUUACCUCGGCAGGGUUUAUCUUAUCGCGAUGGAUCUUCGCUAAUGCAUUCAUCGUGCCGUAAUGCGUCGAGAGAACGCAGGGAGAACGAACCCCAAGGAGAUGACCAUGGCGGAGAGGUUAUGAACCUGCAAAAUUGUAGUCCCUGCAGCAAGGGUGGAAGAAAUCGAAGGGACCGAGUGCUUGGUUGUCCCGGAGCCCGUCACUGAAACUGAUCGCUCUACGCGGGAGGUAUGCCGCUCCUUGCAUCUUAUUCAUGAACGAUCAUCUACUUCUGAACGUUGCGCGCUCUCAAUAGCCCACCUGUAGACUCGAAGUAACGCCGUGAAAUAAGUAUUCGAGUCCCAGAGGAGGAAAGAGGUAGAGAGCAUUGAGCAUGGCUCCUUUCGAGUUCUUCAUUCACUGUCUCGCUGAACCCAUACCAUCUGUGUCUCCACCUGUGCCCAACCAACUGUUUCUUUGCCAGUGCAACCAGAGUAAGUCCGGUUUCAAUCUCGGACCUCCUUCAGCAUUUUAUCUCGCGACGACAAGGUAAGGUAGCGAGUAAGAUAGUAUCGAUGCAUGUUUAAAAGCCCGCAUGCCGUCCGUCUCCCGUAUAGAACAAAUUUCGUACUUUGAUAUCGAAACAAUCGCACACGCCCGCGUGCGCGAGAGUCGUUCUCUUAUUCGAUAAGAAAACAAUGAAAGAAGAGUUACACAAGGAUUCCCGAAUAUGAGUUAAUAUUUCACAAUGUACGAUUACUUUGCAAUCAAUUUUUUUUAAACAAAAGAUAUGAAUUUAUAAUAAAAUGAUUUUGUAAUUUUUUAUAAAAGAUUGAUAUCGAGAUUAUGAUGAUAGAUAUUUUUCAUAAAUUAUAUGAUUUCACAAAUUAUAAUAAAUUUGAAAUUUAAUGUAACGUUAAUGCACGUGCGUAUUUAAUCAUAAAAUAAUUAAAGCUAUGUUAUUAAUGCUUUCUUUUUUUACACGCAUGAGUUAAUACGAUCCCAUUCGAAUUAAAUAAACACAUUAACACACUUUUUAGUUCUUUGUCAAACAAUAUUCAUUAUUGCAAUAUUGCAUCGCUAUAUUAUACAAGUUUUGAACUUUCCUGUGAUCAUUUAAGACAAAGGAAUAUAAAAUAGCAAAAAAUUUAAAACAAUUCGCUUGCAGUUUUCAAAAGAUGUUGUAUCAAUAUUUUGAUAUUUUAGUAUUAAAAGAGUAUUCUUAAAGAUAUAGCAUAUUAAUUAAACAUUAUUAAAAGCAUAUAAUGAGCAGAAUGUAGGUUUUAGAAAGAACUUUAAUAUCUAAAAACGAAAAAAUUAAUAUCUCAGUCCUUUUUAGGUCUCAUAUGUGCUAUGCAUUCGUAAAUUAAAAAUUUUGGAAAUAAAAAUAUUAAAACGGGGAAAUAAAAUAUAAGUGGUUCCGGCCGGGAUCGAACUGGCGACCUUCUGCGUGUAAAGCAGACGUGAUAACCGCUACACCACGGAACCCGAUGACUUUCAUUCAUCGUUGCGCCCAUGACUAUGUGCCCACUUUUAAUAUGCAAAUUUUAUUUUCAAAUAAUUGUGCUACUUGAUACAAAUUUAUUUAAUUAAAUAAAAUGUGAUUACUUGUACAAAUUAUAAAUGAUAAAAUUAUUUAAUUAAUUUACGUAUUAGCUUGUACUCGAUCGAUAAAUUCAUAUGACUUUUUCUUACGUCGUACAGAUGGCAACUGCAACCCACAUGUAUACAUCAAAUAUGGAUUAUUAAAUUUUAUAUGAUUUCAGUUUACUAUA